GUGUCAGCCGCCGCGGUAAUACGGAGGGUGCGAGCGUUAAUCGGAAUUACUGGGCGUAAAGGGCGCGUAGGCGGUCGCGCAAGUCGGGUGUGAAAGCCCCGGGCUCAACCUGGGAAUUGCAUUCGAUACUGCGUAACUAGAGUCUGGUAGAGGGAAGCGGAAUUCCGCAUGUAGCGGUGAAAUGCGUAGAUAUGCGGAGGAACACCAGUGGCGAAGGCGGCUUCCUGGACCAAGACUGACGCUGAGGCGCGAAAGCGUGGGGAGCAAACAGGAUUAGAUACCCUGGUAGUCCACGCCCUAAACGAUGAGGACUAGACGUUGGGGGGAUAAAACCCUUUAGUGUCGCAGCUAACGCGUGAAGUCCUCCGCCUGGGGAGUACGGCCGCAAGGUUGAAACUUAAAUGAAUUGGCGG
rnacentral:rRNA from 1 species